AGGGAUUAAUAUUGCAAAUCUUCCCAAGUCUAAAUCACCUCACUGCGUCAUGAAUUUAAAUGAGAAUGCAAUCAAAACAGUAAGCCAAUUUGAAGAGCAAAGCAUGCAAAUGCAAAGGAUUGAACGCGCAAAUUUCCCUUCCAUACAAAAUGGCGCGUAUCCGGUUCUUAUUUCGGGUCAAUGCGCGGACCCCCUUUGCUGGCAGACGACACCGUUUCUUCAAUAGGUUAUUUAGAACCCUUUUUUUUUACCCUUUUUCCUUCCCUAAAUGCAGCCGUUCCUUCACCCUAAUAUGCAGCCCCCAAAAUCAAAAUGUAGAGUUCAUAUUUGCAGCCAUUGAACCACCAUUUUAUUUGGUAGCCGAUGACGCAUGAACAACAUCCAGAUCUUACCAUCGAAGGCUCCACUCGGGGAAAAUCUGCUAAGCCAAAUUAUUUUAUUUUUUUAUAAAAAAAAAUAUUAAAUCUCAAAUUAUUUGUUCAAGAGAAAAAAGAAAAUGUUGAAAAUCGAAACAUUCAACAGCCUCAGACCCUCGCCCUUAUCUCGGUGUUUUAGAGAUAUUAGGGACCUCACUGGUGCCAUCUUGAGGCUUGAUGAAUAAUACUUUUAACUUCCUCUUUCAACUUUAUUCUCAACGAAGUGAACAGAGGCUAAAACCGCUUCGAAAGGUAUAAUCUAACUCUUUUUUCUUUUGUGUUUCCACAUGCAAAAAUGAUGAAGAUAACUGCUGGAAAAAUAAAUAAAAAGAAGGGAACAAUUAAAAAAGCUAAAGAAGAUCACCUUUUGGAAAUCCUUUUUUUUGAAAAUUUUAGAUUCUGUAUGCGUAUUGUGUAUUCAGUGAGCGUCCCUCUGUAGGUACAUUCGAUGGCUUUUUAUAGCCAAAUUUACAGAGUAAAUAAAAAAUAAAAUUACAUUUUCCUGCUGUCAUUUGCUGUAAAUUCUGUUAGCUCCUUCUUCUCGUGUGUUCCGUUACAGGAAUAGCCGUACGAACGGAGACGCGCGCGAGGAACUAGUGGCGCACGUGUGGUGCUGGAGACCGACUGCUAGUUGCGGUGUGAGGGGAGAUGGCUAGCUGCUGGUGUUUUCCAAAAACCUCUAGGUUUUCUAGUGUUUUUUAAUUAUUGGGCCUUUUUCUGGUCAUUUUGGGUCUCGGGUUUGGGCCCGAAAUUUUGUAAAUGGGUUAGGUUUGUAUUAAUAGAUUUGGGUUUAAUUUAAUAGGUUAUGGGGAUAAGUUUAUUCAGUCAUGGACUGUUUUGGACUAAUGGACUUUUAUUGUUUUUAUUUUGGUUUAUUUUUUUGUUUGUUUUUUUUUUAAUUUUUUGGUUUUUUUGGUUUUCUAACAGGCCCGGGCGAAAUGGGCCUAUUACACCUAUGAGAGAUGAACCCUAUGAUGAAUUCUAUCAUUUUAUUUUUAUUUUACGUAAUAAAUACUUAGUUUCUUGUUCUCA
rnacentral:lncRNA from 1 species